UACGUAGGGUGCGAGCGUUAAUCGGAAUUACUGGGCGUAAAGCGUGCGCAGGUGGUCCCGCAAGUCGAGUGUGAAAGCCCCGGGCUUAACCUGGGAAUUGCGCUCGAAACUACGGGACUUGAGUGUGGCAGAGGGAGGUGGAAUUCCACGUGUAGCGGUGAAAUGCGUAGAGAUGUGGAGGAACACCGAUGGCGAAGGCAGCCUCCUGGGCCAACACUGACACUCAGGCACGAAAGCGUGGGGAGCAAACAGG
rnacentral:rRNA from 1 species